ensembl:lncRNA novel transcript
GGGAAAAGUUCUGCUGAAAACUCUAGGGAUGGUUAGUCGUUUUAGGGAAAUACGGGGAACUAGAUGGAUUCUGGUUUUUAUUUAUCUUCCUUCAAAACAGCUACUAGUAAUCUGCAGAAAAGAUGCAUGGGAAAUAAACCAGGAAAACUGAGCCCAAAGUGAGGUGCAAAGGUUCUAAAAGGAUCAGUGGUCAAUGAUGUCGUGGCAUGUAUCAGCUGAAUCCAAAGUUGAUGUGAGUUCCAAAAUUAUACUGAGACUUUGGGGGAAAACAAAGGCUCAGCUAUGCUCAUCCAUCAGAUUUCAGUUCCUUCAUCAGUUCCUUGAGUGGCCACCACUUCUACUGUGAUAAGUCACCACUGACCUGGGCCACUGCUCUGUUCUCAUCACAGUUACAAGACGUUGGAGGAAACACCAGAGCCUAUACAGGGAUGGUUGAUUGUGAGAAAAGGGAGACGCCAUCUGCCCAUUCAGGAAUGUGCGGUGAGACUCUCUCCUUGGGCUCUGCACACCACCGUGAACAUUUUGUCAGCACGGGUGACUCAUAGCUUACACGGAAAACAGUAGCCUGUCCCUAGCAACCACACAUCGUCUUUUCCCCAGACAUUUCCAAUUUCUCUGCACUCCUAUGGAGACUGUUUUCUUCUUGCUUCACUCUUUCUGUGACAUAAGACAGAAAUUUUCACAGCUCUUCCACACCAUGGGUGUAUAUGGACUGAACCAGCAUAACAGCAAAUAAACGGUGGUGGACCCAGGUACUGGAAAUAGCCAGACCACUUACCUUAAGGGAAAAUGUACCAGGAAGAACCUUAGUGUCCAGCCAGCUUCUAGGAACUGCUUUUUGGUCUCCAAAGGAUGGGGACCGGUGGUGGGCCAAGCAGCCUCGGGUGAGUGUGGCCUCCUGGUUCUCGAUGCUGAUACUGAACAUGCAGUAAAACCCUGUGAGGGAGCACGAUGGCUAGGAACAGCCGAUUAGCAGAUGAAUGAGAAUAAAUGGGAGAAAGUGGAGCCUUUUCCAGCCAGUGUUCUUUAACAAUG